rnacentral:lncRNA from 1 species
ACACGUCGGGGACAUUGGGGGUGGCUUUGGGGAGAUGGGGACACCUCAGGGACACCACAGGGACACCUUGGGGACAUUGGGGGAUGCCUUAGGGACAUUGGGGACACUGGGGGACACCUUGGGGACAUUGGGGGUGGCCUUGGGGACACCUCGGGGACACCUCUUGGACACCUUGGGGACAUUGGGAUACCUUGGGGAUGCCUUGGGGACAUUGGGGGUGGCUUUGGGGUCACCUUGGGGACACCUCGGGGACAUUGGGGUGGCUUUGGGGACACCUGGGGACAUUGGGGACACCUCGGGGAUAUUGGGGGUGGAUUUGGGGACACCUCGGGGACAUUGGGGGAUGCCUUGGGGACAUUGGGGUGGCCUUGGGGACACGUCGGGGACAUUGGGGGUGGCUUUGGGGACAUGGGGACACCUCAGGGACACCACAGGGACACCUUAGGGACAUUGGGGGUGGCUUUGGGGACAUUGGGGACACCUCGGGGACAUUUGGGACACCUCAGGGACUUUGGGGUGGCCUUGGGGACACCUUGGGGACACCUUGGGGACAUUGGGGGUGGCCUCGGGGACACUGGGGACACCUCGGGGACACCUCAGGGACAUUGGGGACACCUCGGGGACACCUUGUGGGACACCUUGGGGACAUUGGGGGUGGCCUCGGGGACACUGGGGACACCUCGGGGACACCUCAGGGACAUUGGGGUGGCUUUGGGGACACCUUGGGGACAUGGGGACACCUCGAGGACAUUGGGGACACCUCGGGGACAUUGGCGGUGGCCUUGGGGACCUCGCGACCCUUUCGGGGCCACCUUGGUGGUGGGCUGGGGGGGGGCGGCAAUUCCGUUAAGCCACGCCCACCUAUAUGACGUCAUACCACCGGCCACGCCCCCUCCUCGGGCACCGCAGUGCGCCGGGCCCGAGCGGAGCCGGGAAGAGGCGGAAAGAGCCGAAGGGAGGCGGAAAGAGCCGAAGGGAGGCGGAAAGAGCCGAAGGGAGGCGGAAAGAGCCGAAGGAGAGCGGCGGGAAGAGCCGAAGGGAGGCGGAAAGAGCCGAAGGAGAGCGGCGGAAAGAGCCGAAGGGAGGCGGGAAGAGCCGAAGGAGAGCGGCGGGAAGAGCCGAAGGGAGGCGGGAAGAGCCGAAGGAGAGCGGCGGGAAGAGCCGAAGGGAGGCGGGAAGAGCCGAAGGGAGGCGGGAAGAGCCGAAGGGAGGCGGAAAGAGCCGAAGGAGGGCGGCGGAAAGAGCCGAAGGAGAGCGGCGGAAAGAGCCGAAGGAGGGAGGCGGGAAGAGCCGAAGGAGAGCGGCGGGAAGAGCCGAAGGGAGGCGGAGGAAAGAGCCGAAGGGAGGCG